UGUCUUUUAUGCUUUAAAUAAAUAAAUCAGUUUUAGCAUGAUUUACGCAUCAUGAAUGCCAUGAGAUAUAAUAGGAUGCUUGCAUUAGAAUCACGAAUAUGUUGCAUUGCAUAUUAUGUUUGAUGAUGUGGAUGAAUGUUGAAUGAUCCUUUAGUCCCCAUAUGUUAUGAUGAUGAUGAUACGGCACGGAAGACCAGUGAGGCCCAUUCUACGCCCCUGGCACCAUGUAAGAGAAAGACCAGUGAGGCCCAUUCUACGCCCCUGGCACAGUUGGUCCAUGUUAUGUUAUGUUAUGUAAGAGAAAGACCAGUGAGGCCCAUUCUACGCCCCUGGCACAGUUGGUCCAUGUUAUGUUAUGUUAUGUAAGAGAAAGACCAGUGAGGCCCAUUCUACGC
rnacentral:lncRNA from 1 species